rnacentral:rRNA from 1 species
UACGUAGGGUGCGAGCGUUAAUCGGAAUUACUGGGCGUAAAGCGUGCGCAGGCGGUUUUGUAAGCCAGAUGUGAAAUCCCCGGGCUUAACCUGGGAAUGGCAUUUGGGACUGCAAGGCUGGAGUGCGGCAGAGGAGACUGGAAUUCCUGGUGUAGCAGUGAAAUGCGUAGAUAUCAGGAAGAACACCCGUGGCGAAGGCGGCUCUCUGGGACGGUACUGACGCUGAGACGCGAAAGCGUGGGGAGCGAACAGG